UGGGGAAUAUUGCACAAUGGGCGCAAGCCUGAUGCAGCCAUGCCGCGUGUAUGAAGAAGGCCUUCGGGUUGUAAAGUACUUUCAGCGGGGAGGAAGGCGAUAAGGUUAAUAACCUUGUCGAUUGACGUUACCCGCAGAAGAAGCACCGGCUAACUCCGUGCCAGCAGCCGCGGUAAUACGGAGGGUGCAAGCGGUAAUCGGAAUUACUGGGCGUAAAGCGCACGCAGGCGGUCAGUCAAGUCGGAUGUGAAAUCCCCGGGCUCAACCUGGGAACUGCAUUCGAAACUGGCAGGCUAGAGUCUUGUAGAGGGGGGUAGAAUUCCAGGUGUAGCGGUGAAAUGCGUAGAGAUCUGGAGGAAUACCGGUGGCGAAGGCGGCCCCCUGGACAAAGACUGACGCUCAGGUGCGAAAGCGUGGGGAGCAAACA
rnacentral:rRNA from 1 species